GUAAAAAGGUGUUACAGAUCGCAGUGGUAUUAACGUCGAAACUCCAGCUUUGUAGAAAACAGUUGAUAAUUCCACUAGUUUUUGAAGUGCAUGAUUGUUCUAGGGUCAAAUUUUCGUAAGCAAAAGUUGACACAUUUUUCCCGUUGAAAUGAGUUUGUAGGCACAAAGUGUCCAGUUCAUCGACCGAUUUUGCGGGACGACCAAGAAAUGUUUCGGCAUAUCGACGAACCAUUGCCUUAUUUCCGUACGUAAUGUAAUACGUCCUUGGCGUAUUUAACUAAAUACAACUGCAGGAGGAGGACUGUUACACGCACCUUCAGAAACUUUGUCAGACGGCAAGUAAAACGUGAGCUGGCCUUGUAUAUUGGCGACACAAUUUACCAACAAAAAAAUACCACAAACCCGAAAAUAUACAGGGAAAGUCAUUGUUCAAGCUUUCAAAUUUCUCUUAGUGAAUUUUUAAUGCUUUAAAAUUAAAACACGAGCUAAUUGUGUCUUCAGUGUAAGAGCAAAUGAUAACUGGAAUACAACAUUUCCAGUAAAUGUACAUAUGAACGAAUAAAUAUCUUAUGUAAUUUCUUACA